rnacentral:lncRNA from 1 species
CCCCUCCCUCGCCCCAGCUGGGGUCCCAGACGGCCUUUCUUUUCGGGGGGGGGUUGGGUUGGGAGAGAGGCCUCUUGUUCAUUGUGGGUGCCGUUCCUCUCUCGACCUGUAGGGGGCGAUGAAGGGGAAGGGGAGCGGAGGAGGACUACCCCCUGCCCGGGAGUGCUGAGUCGGAAGCAGCCCCCGCGGAGGAGCCCCGGGGGUGAGGCGGCCGACCACGCGCCUCCCUCCCCCAUUUGCGGCCCUCCCAGCCCCACCAGGAGGCAGGAAGGUUCCUCUACUGCCCGACCCUCAUCGUGGUCGCCGCCGUGGUCGUCGAGCCCAGUGGGGGGCGAUGAAGGGGAAGGGGAGCGGAGGAAGACUCCCCCCUCCUUGAGAGUCCUCAGGCGGAAGCAGGCCCCGCGGAGGAGCCCCGGGGUGAGUCGGCCAGCACGUGCCUCCCUCCCUCCAUUGCCGGCCCUCCCCACCCCACCACGGGGCAGGAGGGUUCCUCUGCUGCCCGAUCUGGUCGUGGUCGCCGUCGUGGUCGUCGAGGCCAGUGGCAGGAAGCCUGCGUCUGCCCGUCCGGCCGUCCGGCCGUCUGGCCGUUCGUCCUCCCUCGCUGCCCUGUCCCACCAUCUGAGUCCCGGCUACCGCCCUGACCUCGCAAAAGGUAACGUCUGUUUGAGAUUGACCUUGACCAUUCUCCCCAUGCCUGACAACAGAGAGAGCUUCCUCCUCCUCGUCCUUCUUCUUCCAGAGACUGACAUUGACCAUGACCUUGAUGAUUAUCUGCAGCCCUGAACUCCCAAGAGCUGUCUCUAGGGGGUCUGAUCUCAGAGACUGAUCUUGCUUAUUCUCCCCGGGACUGAGUUCCCAAAAGGAGUCUCCUGUCACACAGUCCACUGGCCUCAGUCCUCUGUUAUCUUGAUGUGUGCAUCCAGACACUAUCCAAGUCUGAGGCACUCCAGCCCCACCUUUUCCCAGACUCUCUCCUUAAGGAAGCCCCAUUUGAUCUGCAACUUGUGAGUAUCUAUCUUUCUUUGCCUCCUCUUUGCUAGACCAGUAUCUCAAAGGCUUUUCCGCCCAGACUGACCUUGAACACACUUCACAGGCCCAAGCUCCUUUAGAGGCAGUUCUUCUAAGAGACUGACUUUAUCCUUAACC